AGGGCUUUCCUGUAGUCCUGUCCAGCCAUGUCCAAGUCCAUCCUUGAGACUCGGUACCGCGCUCGCGAGUCCAAACACAAACCCAGCAGAAGUUUGCCCUCCAGUGAUUCCACACAGAAACUGAAACCGUGUUCGGCCAGUUCCGCCCUGCACAACAGAAGAGAGAAGUUAGUGACCUGAACUGGACAUGAAGUGAACUGGUUCUUCAGGUGAACUGGACAUGAAGUGAACUGGUUCUUCAGGUGAACUGGACAUGAAGUGAACUGG